rnacentral:tRNA from 1 species
GUGGCCGUAGUUCAGUUGGUAGAACCCCUGAUUGUGAUUCAGGACGUCACGAGUUCAAAUCUCGUCGGUCACCCCA